rnacentral:lncRNA from 1 species
UCACGCCAUCGCACACCAGCCUGGGGGACAAGAGCAAGACUUUGUCUCAAACAAUAAUAAUAAUAAUGAUUGCCCACCCUGAUGCCUUAUGGGAAGCUGAGAGGGAGGAGAAUGAAUACUUGUUGGGUGGACCAGGCCUGCCAGAAUCAGGGUUUGCUGGCUAUGCUCUGCCUUACUUCACGUGGUCACAAUCCCAUGAGAUCCACGCUGUUAACUCCACUGGACAAAGAAGACACUGGGACCUAGGGCAAACAGAACAUUGAAACAGAGCAUUCAAAUGUCUGAAACUGAAACUAACAACAUGGAGCAAAACUUUGUGCAAAAAGAUGUUCACCAUGCCCUUGUUUAUAAGGGUUAUCAUUUGAAAAAUGCUCAAGUGUCCAAUUAUAAAGAAAUGCAACACUUAGUACCUGCCCCCCCCUCCAGCUUGCCCUGCCCACCAACCAGGAGCGGGGCCAGCCUGGAUCUCUUCUCUGCCGCUGGCGUAGGGGCGGGGGCGGGGGACAGUGUCUUCAGCAAAAGUCUGCGGAUAGAAAGGCCCCGCUCCUGUCCGGACAGCAGGAAUGGGAGAGCCGCCUCCAACCCCAGCCCCAUGGAGCAGGGCAGAAACGCUGCCCACUGCCCUGCUCCUGCCACCAGGAAGGGCGUGUGGGGGGCCACUUUCUGUAAAGAAGAAACCGCCUGAACAACAAGUGGCUCAAGGCACCCUUGUCUAACGACCAGGGACACUGAGCGCCAGGGCCCAAGUCACCAGCAAGAGAAAACCCAGGCGGAGCCCAGGGUGUCCCCCACUGCCCACCAGCCACUGCGGUCAACGUGAAGGGCAAGGGUGCAAGCGGGAUCGCGUCACAGGGAGCCGAGUGAGCCCAGAAAGUAGGAGAAGGACGUUUCCACCCACCUGGAGCGCAGUCCGUUUGCAGCCGGCGGCAGAAUGCUGCUGUCUCCAUCAAUAAAGUCCAUGUUAGCCACCUAGAGGAUAAAAUACCACGAGGAGGAGUAGCAAGGUGCCCCUGUUGACAGAUCUUGAAGCACAAGCUCACUCCCAGAAGCACAGCUGCCUAGUCAACAAACAGCUGACAAUACAUGUCUGAAGGAGCUCAGCUGGGAACAGAAGAAUGGCCCCACUGAGCCUAGCCUAAAUGGCGGACCAUCUCAAUUAUGAGCUAAUAAGUUUUGGAUGAUUUGUUAUGCUGCCAUACCUAACUAAUACAUGCACCCAGUGCAGAUUGGGUGUCAAGAUUUAAAGACAGUUUGAUUAUUAGUCACCUUCUAACAAUGGGCACCCUAAAGGUACUGACAUUUUUCCCGAUUUAAAGUUAAAUGUCUUGUAAGGCAAUGUUGACUGAUGCAGGAAUACUUGUAGACAUGUAUGCAUGUGAUUGGUGCUUAUAUGCACACAGUCCCCCACACCACAGGAAAAAACCGAUGACCAGAGCCUGACCAUUAUGGCCAAGGCCAAAUAGCCAAAGUUUGCCUUUAAUCUAUUUUCUUCAUAUCUAAAAAUUGGAGGUCAAUACUGUGGACAGGUCUGAAGACAUAGAGUUUUGUUCUCCUGUGGCCCCAUCAUUCUUCAGUGGUCUACCUGUGGUUAUUUUAUUCUUGUUACCUUCUGCUCUUUCUAUGACCACUAUCUGUUCCACCCUUGAAACUGAAGACAGAUGUUAGUAGAAAGAGGCUGUUCCCUCAUGUCGGGCAUGUGGGAUACGAUGAGGUUUCUCUUCAAAUAGCCUGAUCAAUCUUUUAUUCUUUAAUUCAUAGUACCCACACACACACCCCUUUUUUUCCUUUUUCUCCUUUUUCCUUUCUGCCUUUGUUAGAUGCCCAGGCACGCCACAGUACCAGGCAUUAUCAGUACCAGCUCACAUUUCUUCCCUUAUUUGGAAAGAGGACUAACUUUCUAGCUCAAUGCAGACACCCCUUCCCCUUCCUCUCUGCAUUCUUUUGCAUGCCCACCUUAUCUAAAAAAAUCAAAUGUUUAGCCAACCAGGAUUAGUUCAGAUUGUACGACCCGACCCUGGCCAAUGGGGAAAGGGUACAGGGGCAGGACUUGUGUCAGGAAUAAAGGCUCUUGUGCCCCUUUGUUCAGGUGUGCUCUCAUGGUGACUGGACAAGAACGCACCCCUCUGUGCAGAACUAAAAUUGCUUUGCUAGGAAUCCUUUGUUCGAGUGUUCAAUUUCCUUAUGAUUUUGAGCGUUAUUCCUAACAGGAAGAAAAGGGAUAUUCAGGCCUUUCACAGACCUGACAACAGAGCUGCACUUCAAUGUGACAGGUAUUGACCAUGUGUGACUCCUGGGAGCCUGGAAUGUGGCUGGUCUGAGCUGCAAUUUGCAAGAAAGGUAAAAUGCAGAGUUAGUUUCAAAGAUUUAGUUCCAUAAAUAUAAAAAUAUACAACAUAUAGAUAAAAAUAUCUAUAUAUAAUAUGGAUAAAAAUACAUAGCAUAAUGCAAUAUAUAGAUACAUAAUUAUGUUAUAUAUAAAUAUAUAUCUCAUUCAUAAUUAUACAUUGCUCACAUAUUAAAAUAAUAUUUUGGAUAUAUUGCUUUAAUUAAAUUGUUACAACAGACGGA